rnacentral:tRNA from 1 species
CAGGGUGUAGCUUAAAACCAAGGCAAAGCACUCGGUUUGGGACCGAGAAGAUGAAGGUUCAAAUCCUUCCAUCCUGA